UUUCAUCUUCUUUGCAGCUCCUCCUCCUCCCUCUCUGAGCAAACACCACACCAAAUGGGGUUAUUCUCUGACUAAAUCCAUCUUCUUUGUUUCGAUCAUUUCUCUAGAGUCUAGAUCCAUCUCUUAAUUUCUUACUCUUGGAAACCAGAGUUCUGCUGUAUCAAGACUUCAACUCCACGAACUUCAUCACACCACCUCUCGAUUUGGACUACUGGGUUCAUUGAAUCUUUUAAUUUAAGCUUGAUUUAGUAAUCUUGAUUUAUGCUUGUUGAUUAGUUGCUGAACUUGCGGCGGUUAUUGGUCCUAUCAACAAUAAUGCCACCACCACCGGUGUUGCUGCCAUGGAAUAAUGCUACCAGUGCUACUUGUUACAUUGUAACCACCAAUGUCCAGGGACAGUCAGUGCUACUGCUACUUGUUACUUUGAAUCUUUUGCUACUUGUUAAGACUACUCUUUAAUUGUGUAUGUGAAUGACUGUGUCUGUCACUAUUUGACUCUUUUGCUACUUGUUAGUUGUUACUUUUUCAUUUUUUCAAGACUUGGUA